AAUCCAUAGGUUAAUGAGGCGAACCGGGGGAACUGAAACAUCUAAGUACCCCGAGGAAAAGAAAUCAACCGAGAUUCCCCCAGUAGCGGCGAGCGAACGGGGAGGAGCCCAGAGCCUGAAUCAGCAUGUGUGUUAGUGGAAGCGUCUGGAAAGGCGCGCGAUACAGGGUGACAGCCCCGUACACAAAAGCGCAUGUGCUGUGAGCUCGAUGAGUAGGGCGGGACACGUGGUAUCCUGUCUGAAUAUGGGGGGACCAUCCUCCAAGGCUAAAUACUCCUGACUGACCGAUAGUGAACCAGUACCGUGAGGGAAAGGCGAAAAGAACCCCGGCGAGGGGAGUGAAAAAGAACCUGAAACCGUGUACGUACAAGCAGUGGGAGCCCCACCACUAAGCCAGUGGUGAACUCCACAUACGCAUCCUUUGCUGAGGAUACGGUUAACGGAGCGAAAGCGACGUUCAACCUCAAAAGAAGCAGAGGGGGCUUAGUGGUGGGGUGACUGCGUACCUUUUGUAUAAUGGGUCAGCGACUUAUAUUCUGUAGCAAGGUUAACCGUAUAGGGGAGCCGUAGGGAAACCGAGUCUUAACCGGGCGUUAAGUUGCAGGGUAUAGACCCGAAACCCGGUGAUCUAGCCAUGGGCAGGUUGAAGGUUGGGUAACACUAACUGGAGGACCGAACCGACUAAUGUUGAAAAAUUAGCGGAUGACCUGUGGCUGGGGGUGAAAGGCCAAUCAAACCGGGAGAUAGCUGGUUCUCCCCGAAAGCUAUUUAGGUAGCGCCUCGUGAAUUCAUCUCCGGGGGUAGAGCACUGUUUCGGCUAGGGGGCCAUCCCGGCUUACCAACCCGAUGCAAACUGCGAAUACCGGAGAAUGUUAUCACGGGAGACACACGGCGGGUGCUAACGUCCGUCGUGAAGAGGGAAACAACCCAGACCGCCAGCUAAGGUCCCAAAGUCAUGGUUAAGUGGGAAACGAUGUGGGAAGGCCCAGACAGCCAGGAUGUUGGCUUAGAAGCAGCCAUCAUUUAAAGAAAGCGUAAUAGCUCACUGGUCGAGUCGGCCUGCGCGGAAGAUGUAACGGGGCUAAACCAUG
rnacentral:rRNA from 1 species